GGUUAGAGGUGAUACUUGAGGUAUAGAAGUGAGGAAAAUGCUUGGCUCCUCACUGGUGAGGAAGAACUUUUUCCUUCCUACUGAGCUAUUUUUCAGGAUUGUCGAGAGUGUUGGGCAGGGAGUUACUGAGUUUACUGAAGGGGACCAUGUGCUAACA